CUCACACCCAUGUGUGUAGGACCCCAAAGGAUUACUAUUAAAUUUGGCAUAGAUCUCUAGAAAAUUUAUCACAUGUGUGUGAGACUUGACUUUUCUAGAUAUCUGUGUCAAAUUUAAUGGUAAUCCUUUUGGGUCCAACACACAUGGGUGUGGG
rnacentral:pre_miRNA from 1 species